GAUGAACGCUGGCGGCGUGCCUAAUACAUGCAAGUCGAGCGAACGGACGAGAAGCUUGCUUCUCUGAUGUUAGCGGCGGACGGGUGAGUAACACGUGGAUAACCUACCUAUAAGACUGGGAUAACUUCGGGAAACCGGAGCUAAUACCGGAUGAUAUUUUGAACCGCAUGGUUCAAAAGUGAAAGACGGUCUUGCUGUCACUUAUAGAUGGAUCCGAGCUGCAUUAGCUAGUUGGUAAGGUAACGGCUUACCAAGGCAACGAUGCAUAGCCGACCUGAGAGGGUGAUCGGCCACACUGGAACUGAGACACGGUCCAGACUCCUACGGGAGGCAGCAGUAGGGAAUCUUCCGCAAAGGGCGAAAGCCUGACGGAGCAACGCCGCGUGAGUGAUGAAGGUCUUCGGAUCGUAAAACUCUGUUAUUAGGGAAGAACAUAUGUGUAAGUAACUGUGCACAUCUUGACGGUACCUAAUCAGAAAGCCACGGCUAACUACGUG
rnacentral:rRNA from 1 species